rnacentral:piRNA from 1 species
UGAAAAGAUGCAUCCUCACGAAUAUGAA